UGAACGUAGAGCUUGAUAUAUUAUAAGUCUGUAGCUUCACAACCUCGUUGUUCUCAUUGACUGUAAGUCAAUGUUACAUUUUGAACAUAAAAACAAAUUGAAGUUAAACAGACCUUUGAUUUUUUUAUUGGGGCUCUUGGUUAUACUGCAUUGGGGGAAAAUGAUUUUCACUCUUAACGUUUGAAAAUCUGUGACUUAAGAUAUUCUUUUCUUAAAAAAGCAGUCUUCUUUGAUUACCAUUGCCUUUCCUUUUCCUUUUUUGCCUUGGCCACAAGAUGUUCAGAGCUAUAAUGUUUUCAACCGCAAUAGUGCCCAUUUUCUAGGAUAAUUAUUUCCCUUCUCUUCCCUUCACUAUUAAAAUUCUUUCUGCUAAUGAUAUUUGUUUUUCUACUAUCUGUAGAUUUAUUGCUUUCUUUUUUAAACAAAAUCGAUUGUUUUUUUUUUU
rnacentral:lncRNA from 1 species